rnacentral:rRNA from 1 species
AGCAGUCGCCGCGGGAAUACGGAGGGUGCAAGCGUUAUCCGGAUUUAUUGGGUUUAAAGGGUCCGUAGGCGGAUCUGUAAGUCAGUGGUGAAAUCUCACAGCUUAACUGUGAAACUGCCAUUGAUACUGCAGGUCUUGAGUAAAUUUGAAGUGGCUGGAAUAAGUAGUGUAGCGGUGAAAUGCAUAGAUAUUACUUAGAACACCAAUUGCGAAGGCAGGUCACUAAGAUUUAACUGACGCUGAUGGACGAAAGCGUGGGGAGCGAACAGGAUUAGAUACCCCAGUAGUCCCUGUCUCUUAUAC